rnacentral:rRNA from 1 species
UACGUAGGGGGCGAGCGUUGUCCGAAGUUACUGGGCGUAAAGCGCGCGUAGGCGGCCAUCUAAGUCUGGGGUGAAAGGUUCAACGCUCAACGUGAACAGUGCCCUGGAUACUGGCUGGCUUGAGUUCGGGAGGGGGCAGUGGAAUUCCGGGUGUAGCGGUGAAAUGCGUAGAUAUCCGGAGGAACACCGAUGGCGAAGGCAGCUGCCUGGCCCAGAACUGACGCUGAGGUGCGAAAGCGUGGGGAGCGAACGGG